UACGGAGGGUGCGAGCGUUGUCCGGAAUCACUGGGCGUAAAGGGCGCGUAGGUGGCGCGGGCAGUCAACGGUGAAAGUUCGGGGCUCAACCCUGAAUCGGCCGUCGAUACUCCCGGGCUUGAGCACUGUAGAGGCAGAUGGAAUUCCGGGUGUAGCGGUGGAAUGCGUAGAGAUCCGGAAGAACACCGGUGGCGAAGGCGGCCCGCUGGGCAGGAAGAUCGUCGCAAGACGAUCGGCUGACGCUGAGGCGCGACAGCGUGGGGAGCAAACAGG
rnacentral:rRNA from 1 species